UUUUUUUUUCUCUCCUUUUAACGGUCUUUUUGCAUCAGUGCAAUGGCUAUGCCGGCUCUCCUGAAUUUAGCGGAUGAAAUUCGGUUGUCUACGCUAGGUUAGGUUCAGCUAUGUAGGGUAGUAUUUGGAUUACAGAGAAGGGUUGGUUGCAGUGGAAAUAAACUGCAUUUUAUAGACCGAUGGCAGCUCGAAAAGAGCAAUGCCAUUUUGGAAAUCUAGUUCUUGGCCACUGUACGUUUGGGCACGACAGCGCCGUUGAGUAGACACAAAAUGAAGGACAAGGAGAUGAUUUUCCACACACACUACUUGGAAAAUCAAAAUAGAACCCCAAGCCCCUAGCACUUUAGAAUGGGAAAUUUGAACAUAGGAGCACACAGGCACAGAGGAAACAGCAAGAAGGCAGCCAUUUGCAAGCCAAGGAAAGAGGCCUCAGAAGAAACCAAAACUACCA